GAUGAACGCUGGCGGCGUGCCUAAUACAUGCAAGUCGAGCGAACAGACGAGGAGCUUGCUCCUCUGACGUUAGCGGCGGACGGGUGAGUAACACGUGGAUAACCUACCUAUAAGACUGGGAUAACUUCGGGAAACCGGAGCUAAUACCGGAUAAUAUAUUGAACCGCAUGGUUCAAUAGUGAAAGACGGUUUUGCUGUCACUUAUAGAUUGAUCCGCGCCGCAUUGGCUAGUUGGUAAGGUAACGGCUUACCAAGGCAACGAUGCGUAGCCGACCUGAGAGGGUGAUCGGCCACACUGGAACUGAGACACGGUCCAGACUCCUACGGGAGGCAGCAGUAGGGAAUCUUCCGCAAUGGGCGAAAGCUUGACGGAGCAACGCCGCGUGAGUGAUGAAGGUCUUCGGAUCGUAAAACUCUGUUAUUAGGGAAGAACAAAUGUGUAAGUAACUAUGCACGUCUUGACGGUACCUAAUCAGAAAGCCACGGCUAACUACGUG
rnacentral:rRNA from 1 species